UAGGGAAUCUUGCGCAAUGGGCGAAAGCCUGACGCAGCAACGCCGCGUGGGGGAUGAAGGCCUUCGGGUUGUAAACUCCUUUCAGUGGGAACGAAAUUGACGGUACCCACAGAAGAAGCCCCGGCCAACUACGUGCCGGCAGCCGCGGUGAUACGUAGGGGGCGAGCGUUGUCCGGAUUUAUUGGGCGUAAAGAGCUCGUAGGCGGCUUGGCAAGUCGGCGUGUGAAACCCCCAGGCUUAACCUGGGGACGCCACUCGAAACUGCCAUGGCUAGAGUCCGGUAGGGGAUCACGGAAUUCCUGGUGUAGCGGUGAAAUGCGCAGAUAUCAGGAGGAACACCAGUGGCGAAGGCGGUGAUCUGGGCCGGAACUGACGCUGAGGAGCGAAAGCGUGGGGAGCGAACAGG
rnacentral:rRNA from 1 species